ACGCACGCUGGCGGCGUGCUUCACACUUGCAAGUCGAACGGAAAGGCCCUGCUUUUGUGGGGUGCUCGAGUGGCGAACGGGUGAGUAACACGUGAGUAACCUGCCCUUGACUUUGGGAUAACUUCAGGAAACUGGGGCUAAUACCGGAUAGGAGCUCCUGCUGCAUGGUGGGGGUUGGAAAGUUUCGGCGGUUGGGGAUGGACUCGCGGCUUAUCAGCUUGUUGGUGGGGUAGUGGCUUACCAAGGCUUUGACGGGUAGCCGGCCUGAGAGGGUGACCGGCCACAUUGGGACUGAGAUACGGCCCAGACUCCUACGGGAGGCAGCAGUGGGGAAUAUUGCACAAUGGGCGGAAGCCUGAUGCAGCAACGCCGCGUGCGGGAUGACGGCCUUCGGGUUGUAAACCGCUUUCGCCUGUGACGAAGCGUGAGUGACGGUAAUGGGUAAAGAAGCACCGGCUAACUACGUG
rnacentral:rRNA from 1 species